ACUUUCACCAGAAAUAGCAGCCCAACUUCAAGGCAGGCAAGUAUUUUAAGAAAGCCCAUAUGCUUCCAUCGAAUCGCUAGUUAUACUUAACGAGAAUUCACUGAUAAAUCAAAUUUGUAAAAUAAGAUUUAACGAAUGCGCAUUAGUAAAAAGGGUCAGCAACCUUGAUUACCUCAUACCACACAAACCUAAUAAUCGGCAUGUGUCGCUCCACUUGGAUCAAGUUUUUGUUGUUUUUUUCAGGUCUAAUCUCCCCGUUCGAAUUUAUUCCAAGCGCAAGUGAUGUGAUCCAAAGCGCAUUACAGUGUUUAUUUAGAGACAAGUUUUAUAACUUACGCCAAAAUCGAUUCUUUUGCCUAAUAACAUUUAUAAUAAUAAUUGACAGUACCAGAAAAAUAAUCCAAAUAACGGACUUCAAACUGCAACGAAUUGUAAUAUCACG
rnacentral:lncRNA from 1 species